ensembl:ncRNA lncRNA:CR45693 long non-coding RNA:CR45693
CAGUCAGUCAGUUUGUCAUGCCUUCAAGGCAGGAGGCAGUUGCUGUUGCUGCGGAUACUGUCCUCUCCGUGUACACUGUCAACGGUUGAGUGUGUGCGAAAGCUUUGAAUUUAUAUGCCAGUGUCAGUUGUCAAUCACAUUUGCAAACUGUCACACAUGCGAGCGUUCAAACAGCGGCAAGCUGGCAAACUGAGCGAGUGAGUACAGGAUGCGGCACAGCGGCAACAUAUUAAUCUUUGCCAACGAGAAGGAUACCCACACGUUCGUGGGGCGUUGCCUCGGAAACAGGAAGAAGAAAGCGGCGAAAAGCGCCAGACGUUGACAGGCAUAAGUAAUGCAAAAAAAUUACUUUAUAAUGGAGUGCGAAAAUGAAAAUUGCUGUGGCCAAAAAAAAAAAAAAAAAGAAGAAGAAAACGGAAUGAAACGAGGGAGAACCCAAAGAGCUUGACAACCGCAACGUUGCUUUUUCCAUGAUUGCUACAAGCAAUUUGAGGUAAGAUAAUCAUGGGCCACGGACCCACAAAAGAUUUCGCACACUCACAUUUCAUAUGCAUGGCCAUGGAUGCGAGCGAUGGCAACAUGUUGCUGCUGCUGCUGCUGUUGCUGCUGCCGCUGGCGUUGAAUGUCGGGAGCAAUACUUUGUCGCUGCCCUGACUGCUGACUGUCAACUGUUUUUCAGUGUGCGAGGAUUUCAAAUGCGAUGCGCUGACACCUAGCACACACCAGCAACAUCAGCGAGACUGGGCGAUUGCAAAUGCGACAUGGGGCCCCACCCACGUGUCGCCUCCACAGCUGACAGCCUUCUGACAGGUUUUGUUGUUCACGCGAGUAAUUCAUUUUAUGCUGCCGCUGCAAGGAGCAGCAACUCCCCUUUAGCUGCUGCUGUUGCUGUUGCUGCUGCCGCUGCUGUUGCUGCUGCUGCUGUCACCUCGUUGCUUCAUUUCACAUCACAAAAAUGCCAAGCAAAGCGACGCCCGUUGACAUGUGAGAGACGACAGCACCGCCAGGACAUCCAGAGGGAGGCCCCUGAAACGUCCCUGUGACAAGUGACAGUUAAGUUGAUGUUGCUGCUGUUGUUGCUGUUGUUGAUGUUGCUGCUGCUGCCGUUGCUGCUCCCCAGCAACGUAAUUCAUUUUGCAUGUGCGUGCAACAUUUUCAAGCGUAUUUAUUACGUAAAUUAACAACAAAUACAACAAGGAUGUUGAUGAGGACAACUACAAUACAACUACAACUGCAACGACGACAGCAGGAUGUUCAUGACGUAGCGGAAAUAAAUUUUGCGUGAACAAUACAAAGCGUUACACUGCAAGUUGGCUAAGUUGUAAACGCCCCAAGGAGACACAAGAGACGAACGAGCAGGGCGAGUUUGCGAAAUUAAUGGCAGGCCAAAGGAGUGACGGGCAGAGUAGCAGGACCAGCCACGCACACAUGCUAAUGAGCCGUCACAGGCGGGGCUUAGAGGGGGUUCCAGGGGAUCGAGCUGCUCCACGCUGACAGGAAGUGACUGUCAGCUGAACGAAAGGAACGCAAGGCCCCGAAGUUGCCCGAGGAGCGCUCAAGUGGCCAAGAAAUGGCUGAAGAAACCGUCAAGAACUAAAAGUGGAGAAGGUGAGAUGAGCAGAGUUAGCCAAACCAUUGAAGGACGUUGCUCUAAGUAUUAUAUUAUCUUGUUACUAAGCACACUAGUUUGCUUCAGUGUGUUUAUACGACGUGGUUCAAAAUAAGAACAUAGUUUUUCAUAGUUUAAUUAAAAUCGCAUUUUAAUGCAAACAAUUUUCGCAAUUAAAUACAACGAUAACCAUUAUUCUGCGUGUCAGCAAUAUUAUUUUGAACAGCUCUCUUAAACUUGACUAACAACGACUUAAAUCACACACUAUUUAGGUAAUUUAUUGCACCUACAUUUUCUGACAUCCGGGCCGCUCCGCAAUAGAAAAUAUGUAGAACCCCAUGAAUCAUUGAAAAGCAGCGUUUUAUGGUCCCUAACUUCGUUCGCUGAGAAUCUUAAAAGCCGGACAGCCAACUAGUCUUGGCUGGUACUAUCAGCAAAGAGCUCGAAAAAUACAUUCAGUAAAUGUAUCAAUUUACAUGAAGCAACACUUAAUUUGAAAAUUAUAUGCAAAAGGAAGUGCAAUAAAUUUAUAGCCACGUCGGCGAAUCAAGAGAGAAAAUGU